AGAAUCAAACCACGCAGCCCUCUUUCAGAAAAGUAUUUAAGCAUGUGUGAGCCCUGUGGGGAGCACCUGCUUUGUGCACAGGUGAAAUGCAUUGCUGAUUGAUGGUGGAGUUAAAACACAGGUCUCAAAUUAAAUAUGUGCCUAAUUUUAAGCAGGUGAGUGAGCUGGCCAAACUCCCUGGGACUACUCAGCUGCUUUAAGUUAACCUUAAGUUUUGAGUGCUUUGCUGCACCAGGGUCUACACUGCAGAACUAGGAAUCUGCCAUGGAUCUCUCACUGUCUAGUAAUUAUUUGUUAAUAUAAAAGUUAGCAAGUCAUAGGUUGAGCCUGUCAGCCCUGACAGGAAGCUGUUAAAUCCUUCAUGUGCUAGUGGUUUGGUUUUAGAUUAUUGAAGCAAAUCACCAGGUUCUCCUUGAACAUAAACAAUGUUUCUUUCCCCAUAACUUUCAGUUUUCAAAGUAAAUGCAGAAUGUAUGAUUUUCAUAUCCUGUCUCCUGUUUUAUAUUUGUAUCUUCCUUUUGACAGAUCAAAGCAUUCACUUUCUCUAUAAUAUGUAUUCACCACACACAUGCAUAUAUAUAUAUAUAUAUGUAUAUAUAUACAUGUGCAAUUACUCACAGAAGAAGUGAGAAAUAUAAUUUCCAUGUGAUGUAAAUGAGCAUAAGGUGAAAGCUCUCACAGAGCUGUGCUUAUUUACACCACCUGCAGGUUUGACCCUUCACCUUUAAUAUCUGGCAAGUUGAAGUAGAAAAACUGCAGCAGUUUCUGAAAACUUUGAAGACCAAACUGUGCUCUGGUUUUUCAACUGGAACUUCCCUGAGUGUACUUAAAAUAGGGAAUAAUGUGUGACCCCAAAUAUCCCAACUCCUCUGGAAUGUUUACAUUGCAAAGGUGAUUGAACAUGAAAUGUACCUUCCUUUUAUUGUGCUCUUUUGAUGAUGAGCUUUCACAAAAGUGACAUCUGUGGCACAGCACUUCUAGCCUGUCUUGUUCUACCAACCCAUUAGUUUAGAAAUUACUUUCUUACCAAAAUGUGACUCAGUUUCUUCUAUUUGCUUGCAAUCCAUGGGCAAUCUGCUUUCAAUCUGAAGAAUGCAUUGCUCUUAUUUCUUAGUAUAUCAUGUUUUCCUGUUGCAAUGGAAAAAAAAAAAAAGAGUAAUUGUGCUUUUUAAUUUCAGAGUUGAAACUUGAUAGAAUGUUUUUAUGCUGAGUUACAACUACAUGUGUGCAAUACUUGUCUUGCAAAGUGAAGUUCCCAAUAUCUGCCUUGCUUUGAUAACCAUUGCUACAUUGUAGGUGAAGUCUCAGCAAAACAAUUCACUUUUUCUUAGUCUGCUCAUAGAAUAAACCACUUGAACCUGGGUUCUCACCUGUGUAAAUCAGCUUCCCUCCAGGGAAUGGGUCAAGCAUACUGAGUUUCAGCAGGUGAAGGUUUAGCUCUUAAUAUUGGGCUCAAGAGCACUCCUUUCUAUAAACUGGGGUGGCUCUGAAAAGGAAAAUGUCUCAAAAAUUAACCUAAAAGAGGAACUUUAUUACAAUUUUGAGCAUGUAACAUGGAUUACAGUUUAAACUUUAUGCUGAGAUUGCUUAAAGAAAGAAAAUUCUUCCUAAAAUCUUUUAAAAUUUUGGAAUAGCUCUCUUCUGAGCUUAAAGCUGUUGGGUUGGUGACAAGUGGAGCAUUUGGAGGAAAUCAAUGUUAGUGGGGUGGUACAGAAACCACAGUGUUCAGACCUUGUUAUUUUAUUUUAUUUUGCUUUACUGACUUGAACUUACAUUGUGAGCAGCUAAAGAGUGACAUAAAUCUAAACACAACACAUUUGGGGGACCCUGUUGGAAAUUUCUCAGAGAAACCACAUCCUUUGGCAUCAUCCUGGGAAAGGCAAGGAGAAAGUCAGAAGAAAACUCUGAAGAAAGGCAAAAUUAAAGGAUGGUUACAACUCAUGUUUAGUAAAGCUGUAUUACUUGUAUGGGAAGCCUCAAUUCCAUCAUACAAGCAGUUGCCUCAGCUAAUUAUUAUUUUUCUUAAUUUUUAGGAAACAAAUAAAAACAGCAUUUGUUCUACCAGAAA